rnacentral:rRNA from 1 species
UACAGAGGGUGCAAGCGUUGUUCGGAAUUAUUGGGCGUAAAGCGCGUGUAGGCGGCUUUGCAAGUCGGGUGUGAAAGCCCUCAGCUUAACUGAGGAAGUGCGCCCGAAACUGCAGAGCUUGAGUACCGGAGAGGGUGGCGGAAUUCCCCAAGUAGAGGUGAAAUUCGUAGAUAUGGGGAGGAACACCGGUGGCGAAGGCGGCAUCCUGGACCGACAUUGACGCUGAACGGCGAAAGCUAGGGGAGCAAACGGG